rnacentral:lncRNA from 1 species
GCAGGGACAGUGCCACCCCUGGGGACAGGCAGGGCAGGGACAGUGCCACCCCUGGGGACAGCACAGCUGGUGGCAGUGCCACUGUCCCAAUCAAGGACAGCACAGCCAGGGCCAGUGCCACCCCUGGGGACAGGCCAGGCAGUGCCACCCCUGGGGACAGGCAGAUCAGGGCCAGUGCCACCCCUGGGGACAGGCCAGGCAGGGACAGGCCACCCAGAGACAGUGGCACCACUGGGGACAGGAGCAGUGGCAGUGGGGACAGGAGCAGUGGCAGUGCCACCGUCUCCAGCAGGGACAGGCCACCCAGGGCCAGUGGCACUGGGGACAGGAGCAGUGGCAGUGCCAUUGUCUCCGUCAGGGACAGGCCACCCAGAGACAGUGACAGUGGGGAAAGGAGCAGUGACACCACAGGGGACAGGCCUGGCAGUGCCACCACUGGGGACAGGCCACACAGGCCCAGUGACUUUGGGGACAGGAGCAGUGGCAGUGCCACCGUGCCCAGCAAGGACAGGCCACACAGGCC